rnacentral:rRNA from 1 species
CACGGGGGGAGCAAGCGUUGUUCGGAAUCACUGGGCGUAAAGGGCGUGUAGGCGGUUCGGUAAGUGGAAUGUGAAAUGCUCCGGCUCACCCGGAGUACUGCAUCCCAAACUGCCGAGCUUGAGUAUGGGAGAGGAUGAGGGAAUUCCUGGUGUAGCGGUGAAAUGCGUAGAUAUCAGGAGGAACACCGGUGGCGAAGGCGCUCAGUCUGGCCCAAUACUGACGGCUGGAGGGCGACCGGAAAGGCCAUAGGGGGAGUCAAAACACGGGG